UACGUAGGUGGCAAGCGUUGUCCGGAUUUAUUGGGUUUAAAGGGUGCGUAGGCGGUUUUUUAAGUCAGUGGUGAAAUAUGGCAGCUCAACUGUCGAGGUGCCAUUGAUACUGGGAAACUUGAGUACUGAUGAGGUAGGCGGAAUGGACGGUGUAGCGGUGAAAUGCUUAGAUAUCGUCCAGAACACCGAUAGCGAAGGCAGCUUACUAAGGAGUAACUGACGCUGAGGCACGAAAGUGUGGGGAUCAAACAGG
rnacentral:rRNA from 1 species